CCCGCGUGUUUUCCCCUCCUAGGCGUCCCCGGGACAGCGGAGCGGGCCGGCCGAGCGACCGCAGCACCACUGGAUUAUCUGAGCCGUUAGGCCUUAAUUCAAGGUCUGUCAGACUUUCCUGCAAGGGGAACAAUGAACGCUUCCUAUGUAGCUAUAUACCCAACUCUAAUUUAAAAGAAAAAUCAGGAAAAAGUCUUGGCAUUUAAUUCGGACGCACUAACCAGAUAAAUCCUGAGCAUCAUGGCUUUGUGACCUGGGGUUUCUGCUCAAAAUACUCUAUGGAUGUAUCUUACAACUGCACUUUUUAAUGCCUGUUUCACCUUGUGCCUCCUGUGUUGUCAUCAAGAUCAGAAAUUAAUAAACAUUUUUUAAACCACUGUCA
rnacentral:lncRNA from 1 species